rnacentral:rRNA from 1 species
GUUGUUCGGAAUCACUGGGCUUAAAGGGCGCGUAGGCGGGUGCUCAAGUCCGGGGUGAAAUCCUCCAGCUCAACUGGAGAACUGCCUCGGAUACUGGGUGUCUCGAGUGUGGUAGGGGUAUGCGGAACUAUCGGUGGAGCGGUGAAAUGCGUUGAUAUCGAUAGGAACUCCGGUGGCGAAGGCGGCAUACUGGACCACUACUGACGCUGAUGCGCGAAAGCCAGGGGAGCAAACGGG